rnacentral:rRNA from 1 species
GACGAACGCUGGCGGCGUGCUUAACACAUGCAAGUCGAACGGAAAGGCCCUGCUUUUGUGGGGUGCUCGAGUGGCGAACGGGUGAGUAACACGUGAGUAACCUGCCCUUGACUUUGGGAUAACUUCAGGAAACUGGGGCUAAUACCGGAUAGGAGCUCCUGCUGCAUGGUGGGGGUUGGAAAGUUUCGGCGGUUGGGGAUGGACUCGCGGCUUAUCAGCUUGUUGGUGGGGUAGUGGCUUACCAAGGCUUUGACGGGUAGCCGGCCUGAGAGGGUGACCGGCCACAUUGGGAGUGAGAUACGGCCCAGACUCCUACGGGAGGCAGCAGUGGAGAGUAAUGAACAAUGGGCGGAAACCUGAUGCAGCAACGACGCGUGCGAGAUGACGACCUUAGGGUUGUAAACCGCUUACGCCUGUGACGAAGCGUGAGUGACGGUAAUGGGUAAAGAAGCAAAGGCUAACUACGUG